rnacentral:rRNA from 1 species
UAGGGAAUAUUGGACAAUGGGUGAGAGCCUGAUCCAGCCAUGCCGCGUGCAGGAAGAAGGCGUUAUGCGUUGUAAACUGCUUUUUGCCAGGGGAUAAAAAGACCGUGCGCGGUUAAUUGAAGGUACCUGGUGAAUAAGCCACGGCUAACUACGUGCCAGCAGCCGCGGUAAUACGUAGGUGGCAAGCGUUGUCCGGAUUUAUUGGGUUUAAAGGGUGCGUAGGUGGCCCUGUAAGUCAGUGGUGAAAUAUCUCAGCUUAAACUGAGAGGGUGCCAUUGAUACUGCAGGGCUUGAGUACAGAUGAGGUAGGCGGAAUUGACGGUGUAGCGGUGAAAUGCAUAGAUAUCGUCAAGAACACCGAUAGCGAAGGCAGCUUACCAAGCUGUAACUGACACUGAGGCACGAAAGUGUGGGGAUCAAACAGGAUUAGAUACCCGUGUAGUCCCUGAGCGGGCUGGCAAGGCGCAU